rfam:Lachancea thermotolerans CBS 6340 chromosome E complete sequence.
GGGCGUGUGGUCUAGUGGUAUGAUUCUCGCUUUGGGCGAAAUUUGAGUUACACUCGAGUUACAAAUCACAAGCAUGCGAGAGGCCCUGGGUUCAAUUCCCAGCUCGCCCC